AAGGGAAGUCGCUCGGUUGUGUCCGACUCUUCGGGACCCCAUGGACUGCAGCCUACCAGGCUCCUCUGUCCAUGGGAUUUUCCAGGCAAGAGUAUUGGAGUGGGGUGCCAUUGCCCUCUCUGAUCUUAUUGUCCUAUUAAGUGACAAAAGCAAAAUAAAAUAUGCAUAGACAAUCACAGCUGUUUUAAAUGUGCAGAGCUAAAAAUUAUGCAUAAAAAUAGACUGGAAGUAUGCCUAUAUGUUAACAGUUGGUGGUCUAGGAAUGAUGGAAUGAUGGGUAAUUUUUUUAUUCCUAUUUUUACUUUCAGACUUUCUCUAUUGAGAGUUAAGGUGUACAAAUAAUUUAUAUCUGAUUUACACACACACACACACACCUCUUGCUUGUUAAACAUUAGAGGUGAUGUUAUAUAGAGCCAGAACUCAGGUUUUGAGUUAUUAAUAUUACCUAGGUUAGUGACAGUUCUGGUUCAUCAUUUAGGAGCCCUGAGUGCAGGGAAGCAAGCUGCUGUUGCCAAUGUUGUCAUCGUUGUAAUUGUGUUUCUGCUUCAAUGUCCUCACCUGAGAGUCAAGGUGAACGAUCCUCCACCCAGAGGGCUAUAAUGGUUCCAGUGGGAUAAUGCAUGUAAACUCCUAGCAUGUCAUAUGACACACAACAGGCCCAGAAUAAAUGUCAGCUACACUUCUCAGGGUUCUUAUUCCUGAGAGAAUGAUGCUGAUCUGAUCAGACACUUCAAGUUUUAAGGAGACAUUUGUUCAGAUGAAGGAAAGAAGAGAAAAUAGAGAAUAACACCAGCUUGAUGAAUCUCAGGAUCUAUAAGACUUGUUUAAACCCCUCGCAUGUAAAGAUGUGCCAAAUCUGAUUCUACAAGAAUGUUUUUCAAGUAUUCUGUUUUUAGCAACAGAACUCCCUACCCCCCUCCCCAAAUCUCAUGCAGAUUCCUCUAGAUUUAAAACAGAUCAAAACCGCUGCUCUGGUAAAACAGAGGUCAGGUCACUCAUCUGAGCUCCACAUUGCUCUUACAGAGCUGAGGCUUCUCAGAGAAUAAUGUGGAAAAUGCUCUUCCAACAUAAAUGUAACUGGUUCACAAACUGUAACUUGGCCAGCUUCUUCUGGGAGAGGGGGCACGGUGUCCUUGGCUCUCUAUUGUGGUUUGCGGGGCAGCAAGGGGCAGAGGGAUCAUGAGCAACAGCUGUCCCCAGGCUCUUGAACUACUUGGCAGGGCAUUUGUGCAUGUCUCAAGCCUGUUCCUUAGGAGCCGUGCCCUUAUUUGAGCCAGAACUACACAAAGGCAUUGUCCUCAAACACUGGGUCUCCUCUUUCUUGACUGGCCCUGUUUACCCAUUCAUCAGCAGGUGGUGGCUGGAACAUUCCCCUUUGAUUUUGUGGCUCAGGAGCGGCAAGCUAAGACCUAAGCUGAAUAAACAUCGUAUCAUUUGGCACUGGCAAGAUUCCUGGUAGUCCGGGUCAGGAGAGGUUUAAGGAGGAUUAGGUUUAGAUUAGAAAAGGGGUUGAGUUAUUUUUUUUCCCUGUGGUUUCUCUUAAGUGCCUUAGGGUUUUGUAAGAGUCAAGUGGGCUGACGGCCUAGACUCAGUUGCUCCAGAGAUAAAAGUGGUGAGCUCAGUGUUUUUUCUGGACCAUCAGGAGGGUAUGUUCUUCUCCUGAACAUGGUUUUUCCCAUGAGACUCAUGAGUUCCUGGGAAUCUGCUGAAAGCUCUAAACCUUUUCUCUAGAAAACUGGGGGCAUCUGUGCACAAGCACGCACGGGCAGGUACACAAGGGCACGCCCACACGGGCUUGCGCGUGCGCAUACACCUGAUUUGACUUACUCGCAGGCGUUCCUGAAAUUCACAAGCCAGAAGAAUUUCAAGAGCCUAAACAACUCACCUUUCAGAGGGACCUCACCCUUCCCAGAGUGAUUUGCUACCAUGUAUUGAGAGAAGACUGGAUGAUGCCACAUUGCCACAUGAUACCAUAAGAACUCAAUAUUUCUGACCACGGAUAUCAGAACACACAUUAUUCCUGCUGCAGUUCUGACAGUGAGAACAAGGACUGUCCUGGGCAGAUGACCUUCUGCCGCUACCUCUUUGCACUUCUGUUCAUCCUUUUUUAAACACCAGAAUCCCCCAUUCAGCGUGGUGUACCCCAGCUUCACUGAGGAAACUCAGGAUGAAGUCUUCUGACUUAUGCCCCUUAGAGAGGAAAGAGCACAUGACAUGACCUGGCCCAUCAGAUGCCCAGGAACCCAGCAGAAGGGCAGUUGGAAUCAUUCAGCUUGCUGGCAUUCCACAAUGGCAACAGCACCCCGUGGUGUUCAGCAUUGGCAGAACACUGAAAGUGGUUCAUCAGUUUCAGUGGUUUAUCAGUGGUUUUCAGCAGUUAGUUGUGAUUUGGUGUUUUUGUAGGAAGAGGUGAGCUCACAUCCUUCUGCUCCAGCAUCUUGUCUCCAUCCUGAACAGACCAUUCCUAUUUGGUUGUGAUUCCAGCCAGUGAGACUCACAUUGGAUAAUGGCCGAUUUCUCAGCCUGGUUCUUCAUGAUGAGUUUUUAAACAGCUACCCUUAAAUUAGCCCAGGUCAGUUUCUGUUGUUUAUAACAGGGAAUCCUGAUCAAUACCAAUGACAUAGCCUCUUUUUGAUCGAGAAGUUGUAAAUGUCUACAUCUCUAGGCAAACCCACAUCUGUCCUCAAAGCCUUAAAACACAGAUCAGGUGUCUUUCAUUGUUUUCCCUUAAAGACAAAUCCUUUCUAAGAUAAUCAAGUCUCUAAAUAAUAAUGAGCAGUUUUCAUUACAAUAAGUAAAUAGUACACAGUCGUCUCUUGAAUCUAAAGGUAUUGGUUCUAAGAUCCCCACAGAUUCCAAAACUGUGGAUGCUCAAGUCACUUAUGUAAAAUGGCCAGUACGGGUGGCCCCCUCUAUCUCUGGGGUUCCAUAUCCUCGAUACAAAGGCCUGACUAUAUGUAUCAACCUAUUAUCUUUAUGGACAGAAAAAAAUGUGAAUUAGCAAAUGUGAAAACAUUUUUAUUGACCUUAAGAUAGAGUAAUUUUAGGAAAGCAGAUAGUUGACAUUGUUUUCAGUUAUUCACAGCAAGGUGCCUGUGAAACUCUUAUAAUUAGACUGAGUGGCACCAUUAAUGACACUUGAGAUAUAUGCAAAGCUUGUCAUAUGCUUUAAAAUUCACAAAGGCAGAUCAUUUUGAUAUGCUUUAUUCAUUUUCUCUGUUGAACACUGGGUUAUAUCCCAGUUGAAUAAAGCAUCUGAUGUACUCCGAUUUGCAUUUUUGCACACAACAUACUUUCCAAUUCUACCUCGUUCACAUCACUGUAAUUGUUUCCAUUUCUUACAUAGGAGGACGUUAGUCACAUUCAUUAUCAGCUAAACAAUUUGACCCAAAUGACAAUAAUAAAUCAUGCCCAACUUAGACAAUUGAAAUAUCAGAAUUUUUAACUAUGACUUGCUUAGCUUGGGCAAAAGACCCUUGGUCCUAGCUAUCAUAACUGCUCCUGCCUCCCAGGGAACAUAAUAUCAGACACGUUAGGAAGUGUCUUUGUUAAAUUAGUAUGUGUGGAUGAUUAUGUAUAUCUGAUUUAGUAAUAGAAUGUGGAUUUGUGUAUGAUCUCUAAUGAACAGCUUAUAUGUGAUCAUAAAAACAAAAAUCUACAGAAAUGUGUGUUAGUAACAAGCCAGAGAGAGUGUGAAAUUUUGGAUCAGUUUGAAGCCCAAAUCAAGAGUGUUCACUGUUGCCUGCCAGCAGUUCAAACAGUAUAGAAGUAUAUAAAGUAUAAUUCAGUAACUAA